rnacentral:rRNA from 1 species
AGAGUUUGAUCAUGGCUCAGGAUGAACGCUGGCGGCGUGCCUAACACAUGCAAGUCGAGCGAUUCUCUUCGGAGAAGAGCGGCGGACGGGUGAGUAGCGCGUGGGUAACCUGCCUCAUACACAUGGAUAACAUACCGAAAGGUAUGCUAAUACAAGAUGAUAUAAGAGAUUCGCAUGGAUUUCUUAUCAAAGCUCCGGCGGUAUGAGAUGGACCCGCGUCUGAUUAGCUAGUUGGUAAGGUAACGGCUUACCAAGGCGACGAUCAGUAGCCGACCUGAGAGGGUGAUCGGCCACAUUGGAACUGAGACACGGUCCAAGCUCCUACGGGAGGCAGCAGUGGGGAAUAUUGCACAAUGGGCGAAAGCCUGAUGCAGCAACGCCGCGUGAGUGAUGAAGGCCUUCGGGUCGUAAAACUCUGUCCUCAAGGAAGAUAAUGACGGUACUUGAGGAGGAAGCCCCGGCUAACUACGUGCCAGCAGCCGCGGUAAUACGUAGGGGGCUAGCGUUAUCCGGAUUUACUGGGCGUAAAGGGUGCGUAGGUGGUUUCUUAAGUCAGGAGUGAAAGGCUACGGCUUAACCGUAGUAAGCUCUUGAAACUGGGAAAUUUGAGUGCAGGAGAGGAAAGUGGAAUUCCUAGUGUAGCGGUGAAAUGCGUAGAUAUUAGGAGGAACACCAGUAGCGAAGGCGGCUUUCUGGACUGUAACUGACACUGAGGCACGAAAGCGUGGGGAGCAAACAGGAUUAGAUACCCUGGUAGUCCACGCCGUAAACGAUGAGUAUUUAGGUGUCGGGGGUUACCCCCCUCGGUGCCGCAGCU